rnacentral:rRNA from 1 species
GAGUUUGAUCAUGGCUCAGAUUGAACGCUGGCGGCAUGCCUUACACAUGCAAGUCGAACGGCAGCACGGGAGCUUGCUCCUGGGUGGCGAGUGGCGAACGGGUGAGUAAUGCAUCGGAACGUAGUCCUGGAGUGGGGGAUAAACGUAGCGAAAGUUACGCUAAUACCGCAUAUUCUGUGAGCAGGAAAGCGGGGACCUUCGGGCUCGCGCUCUUGGAGCGGCCGAUGCCGGAUUAGCUAGUUGGUGAGGUAAAGGACUCACCAAGGCGACGAUCCGUAGUAGGUCUGAGAGGAUGAUCUGCCACACUGGAACUGAGACACGGUCCAGACUCCUACGGGAGGCAGCAGUGGGAAUUUUGGACAAUGGGGCAACCCUGAUCCAGCCAUGCCGCGUGAG